UACGAAGGGGGGCUAGCGUUGUUCGGAAUUACUGGGCGUAAAGGGCGCGUAGGCGGUGUGUCAAGUCAGGCGUGAAAGCCCCGGGCUCAACCUGGGAACCGCGCUUGAGACUGGCACGCUCGAGUUCGGGAGAGGAUGGUGGAAUUCCCAGUGUAGAGGUGAAAUUCGUAGAUAUUGGGAAGAACACCGAUGGCGAAGGCAGCCAUCUGGGACCGACACUGACGCUGAGGCGCGAAAGCGUGGGGAGC
rnacentral:rRNA from 1 species